UUUUCUUUUUUCUUUGUGAUUAUUGUCUUUGUCCUGUCCUCUACCUCCUUUCUUACGACUUCAGUCUUCUUCUUUUUUCUGUCCUCGUUCUCUCUUUUUAAUUCUUCAUCUUUGUUUGUUUUUCUUUGUUCUUCCACUUUAUAUCUUUGUUCUUCCCUGUUAUUUAUUGAUUCAUUCUUGUUCAUGCUUCUUCUUUCCCUGUCUUCUUUUGAGUUCAACAACCAACAAAAACCAACACCAACAACGAACAACAAUGCAGAGUGGCCCCCCGUGACGCUACCCCAUUCGGGGCAGCGACAGGGGCCCGGCCGCUUCGCGCGAUUUUGAUGCCAUUCAUCAGAUGACAGAACAGGUAGUGUUUGCAGUGCGUGACUGACUAAGAGCAGAGCACCAGGAGCAGACAGCUGUGUGUACCCAUGGACAACGUCUGAACCACCAGCUAUAGACGGUGAUUUAAGCACCGGCAAGAAGCGGAAAAUUAUGGAACAUAUUUUCACGAUGACUGCAUGCCAUGCAUCAGCUGACGCUACUGUGUGCCAGACAGGAGACGAGGAGCUGCAUGAGGCAAGAAAAGCAGAAUUCAGAAUGUAUAGCCCGCGGCAAUGGACAGAAAUAGAACCAACAGCCUGGCAAUGAACUGUCAAGAGACGAGGAGCAAGAGGUUCAGAUGAGGAGGAGGAACAGUACGGGCCCAGCUAAUGAAAGAGGGAACCACUGAAAUUCCUCCAUAACAACAGGAGGGAAACCAGAGAACAUCUAUAAUCAUUUCUGACAAAGGGAGAGGGGAGGCAGUUAAAUGGGUGACCCUCUAACCCCAUUGCUCAUUGUAGAUGUGGCAGGAGAUGGUCCUCAUCUCUGACAAUCGAUGCAGCAGACCUCAUAACCACCCGCAGCCGAUUUCAGAGGCCCAAAUGUGUCAUCACUAUGUCAUUGAGCAUACGUCUUCGCCAGAGGCGACAGGACCUUCCCCACCCGCACCCCCUCCCCCUGUCGGAUGAGAGGGCGGAGAGUGGCAUUUCCCCCAAUUCUGUGAAAUGGUGCAGAAAACAGGAGAAAGAGGGACACGCCCCACAGUGUCUAUCAAUCCUGAGUCUGCAGCAAUGAAACUGAAACUUCAUCUAGAUGCCCUCAUCUAUCUGUCAGUGAAUAGGAAAGGAGGUAAAGGAGGAGGGGGUGCUAUUGGAGCCAGCAGCCAAUCUCUCCUCCCUUCUCAGAUGCAUAAUUCAGUGUUUCUCUCACAACAGCCUGCGCUACGAAGGGCUCAGCUUCCCCCAGCCAUGCGGCGGGCAGUCUGCUAAUAUGAAAGAAGCUCAGAAUCCACUCUGUUGUUCCUUCAGGCUCUCUGGCUCUUCACUCUCAGUCAUACUUGUAUGAUUUAUUCAGCUCGUUCAACCAUGGCGUGAGACUCAGACCCCAGUGGAUGAAUUGGGAAACACUUUUGUCCUUGUCAAGAUCCAGCCACAGAACUUGGCAGAGGAAGUGUGUCGGCAUCACUGUGGGUUGUCAGAGUGACACUGGAGUAGCUUAACCUCCCACUGGUGGUUAGUUUUACUGCUCCUUCUGAGAGGCUCGCCGCUGAGCUUGUGUACAGCAACCCUGAUUUGGCCUCAAUAAGCAACCAAGGAAGGAAGCAUGGAGGACAAGAGCACAGGGUGACUCUUCCUGUUCUACAAAUACAAUUCGUUUUUUGCUUAAGUCAUUGAAAGUUCACUAAAAAGCUGUACCUAUAUGAGUUUUUUGUUGUUAUUUCUCAAUUUAACAGCUUAAACAGCGUUUAUACACUAUGUCUAGUACAUAUACAAUAAGCUGGGUUUGUGAUCCUGAUUCAUAUUCCCACCAAACUUUUCUCAUAUGCAAGGGACAGUGAUGGCUUGUCUGUUAAGGGGAGGAGACCAUUAUUUAUAGAGUUAGACCUCAAAAAGACUCAAAAGUCCACGCUGAGAGCCUCCUCACAGAGCUAUGGGACUACUCAAUGAAGUAUUAUUGAAACCUGACACCAGCAUGGUCAGAAAAUCUUAUCUCUGAUCUCUGUCUUAUCUUACCUUAAAUCUUUUGCUACCACAAUGCACUGAGUAGGAGGAAAUGUUGCACUUUUAAGUGUUGAAGUUUGUGUAGACAUAGCUCGGUUAUA